rnacentral:lncRNA from 1 species
AAACUACAUUUCUGUUUAAAGUUUGAUCCAUUGAGUUCAACUAUCUUUUGUUGAAUUUGUUCAUACCUUUUUAAUAGAUAAUGUUCAAAAGCUAUGAAUUUUAAGAACCAAUAUAGAUGUGUUAUAAGUCGAAUGAUCAAAUGAUAAACGAACACAAGAAAUACAACAGAUAUGUCCUUCUUGCUAGCAAAUGCAAAUCGGAGACACCUGGUGUUUUGAUAGACCAGAGACCGCGAUGAUCCCCUAUGGUAGCCGUGGCUUGCGAUUAGUUAUGACUUAGCGAUUUAGAGUAUCUACGGAGAUGUUAAUGUAUAACGUUUUUUUUGACCGGAUUAAGUAUCUUAAGCCACAUAUAAGUGUAUCGAUGGCUAUGUGAUAUUUUAGUUUGAAUGUGGACCUGUUUUGUUUGUUUUUCUUAGAGUUUGAUCAUUGUUUAAAAUGAUACACAGAAAGCUGCAUGACUAUGUGCAUUCUAUAUUGAUCACGAAAUGAACUGAUGUACAUAAAAUUAGUCGAUGUGUGAUACAAGAGUUUCUUAAAAGUAAGUGUAAACUGUGAUAUGUGUUGGUUGAAAUCGAGCCAUCCAAAAUAGGAAGUUGUAAGAUACCAACGAUGGCUGGUGCAAUACUUAACUUGUGCAAUCCUGCCGACUACACAGACAUUCUUUGAGUUCAGGCUCAUUCGCCACUGAAAAAAAAACCAUACAACCUUAGCCAGCAGAUAAGACAAGCAGUACAUAGCAACAAACAUACAUAGAACAGUACAGCAACAAGCAGUCCAUCCUAAAUAGGAAGCCGAAGAAGUUGAACCGGAAGAGAUGACUGUCAAAACGGGUCAUCUCAAGAAUAUAACUAGUUUGUACAUGUAUAAGUACACUUGGCAAAAUGGUAGGUCGGGUAACGUGUCAAAAUGGGUUUCAAGCAAAAGGAGUGAUCUUUCGUACAUAUCAAAUUGAUCCGGGUCCGUCAGGUUAACAAAAAAUCAAGUCAGAAAUCUGAUCCUAUCUUUGUUUAUGUUGAUAAAAAUUCGAG